UCCCCCGGUAACCCCCGGUAACCCCCCGGUAACCCCCGGUAACCCCCCGGUAGUCGGGCAGCGCUGCCGGGGCAGCGGCGCUGUGGCCGCGGCUGUCUGGGGCUGUUUGCCGAGCAGAAGGCGCUGCUCACCUGCCGGAGCCGGGACAGGUUCUCCGGGGAAACUCCUGCCGUGCGGGGCUUGGGGCCGCUGCUCCCGGGGGCUGAACCCGGGGGAUGAUGGGGAGAAACCCCCCAGCGCCUUCGGAGCUCCUACCAAAUGCACUCGAGUUGUACUUUUUAUUCAUCUCCGUGUUUGUUACAUUGCAGCAACCUGUGCUAGACUUGUUUGACACGAUACACUUCAGAAGGCAGCUGCAUAAUGUUGAACGGGGCAGUCAGACUCUGGCAGGUUACCUGUGUUACCUUGGCCAGCCUGAAGAAGUACAGUCAUAAAAUCUGGACUUCAGAAGGUUGUCCUUUAUCAGCAAGUGAACGCACAUGCCCAUGUUUCCAGGCCUGAGCUGUGUGAUAUGACAGCGAGUGCAAUGUGCUGUGUGUGCAAUGUGCUGUCCUCAUGCUUGUGGUGCCACGGCGGCUUGGUUUUAUGGGGGUGAAAUAAAGCUUGAAAUCUCUGCCAUAUGGCUGUUAUGAUGUUGGGAAUUAUGACACGUCAAAUACUUAGGAUGGGGUAUUUUGCUUUGGGACAGACCACGACUUCCUGAGCAAGAGCCCUGCUUAAUUUAACAAUGAGAACGCACAGAGAAGAACAGACUAUCACAAUGAUGUUCACAGGAUCCUUUCUUUUAGGUUUAAUGUGUAGCAACUUUGGAUUUGCUCAUGAAACCACAAUAUUUUAUUGGUGGUGGGAUAUUUUUUGCCCCCAAGGCUUUAUGUGUUUGUUUACACUGGGAAAGAGGAAUUGGUAAUUGUGUUUGCAGCAUGUAGACUUGGAUUUUUAAUCUCCUCAAAGAGAGGUAUACUUACAACCAGGACUCCGUGUUUCCUGUUAGUUUGUAAUUUAGUUUGUUUAGUCUUCUGCAGUUGCUCUCUGUUACCUUAGACUCCUGGGUAGUGUAUUUAUACUCAUCUACAAUCUAUUCAUUGUCACUCUUUUCAUCUGUGCUCACACCAACUCCACCAGGUGACUUAUUUACUGAACGUUUGUGCAAGAUGCAGCCUUUCACUCUUGCUGGCUUUUGGGUUGCAGGAAGGUUGUGAGGUCCACAACAGAAGCAAUAUCCUCCUAGUCAAAUAUGCCUGCUCUGCAAUAACCAAACUCACAGUAGAUUCUUGUAUUGUGACUCCUAAGAAUGAAAACCUCACAAAUUAAGAUAAGGAAAUGAAUAUGUGGGAAAUAAAAGGGAGAUUUUGUGAUGAUUUCUCUAUAUAAGUGUAUAUAAAGCCUCUCUUUUUUUUCCCAUUCAUAAUCCAAUUCUCCUGGAAGAUGAGAUGAAGAAACCUUCUGAACACAACUUCUAUUCUCAGAGUGGAACUUUGGCUCCCUGUCUGCUCUUCCUGUUGCAGAAGCUGCUGGAACAAGUGUUCCAGCAUCCUAUAAACCCAGGACAGCUUUGUAGCUUCCCUCUGUGUAGUCAGAAUGUGACUGCACUUGCUUCUGUGGCUGACAAAAGCUCACCAGACUGCCUUGAUUCUGCAAUAAAAUUAAUCCACAGUUGCAACACGAA